GAUGAACGCUGGCGGCGUGCCUAAGGCAUGCAAGUCGAGCGGUAGCUCCUAUAAGUGAAUAACUUAGAGGAGUGAGAGCGGCGCACGGGUGAGUAACACGUAGAUAACCUAUCCCAGAGAGGGGGACAACAUUUCGAAAGGGAUGCUAAACCCCCAUAUACUUACCGGACGGACAGUUCAGGUAAGGAAAUAGUCUAGUGAGGCGACUCACUAAGCUGUUCUGGGAGGGGUCUGCGGCCUAUCAGCUAGUUGGUGAGGUAAAGGCUCACCAAGGCGAAGACGGGUAGCCGGCCUGAGAGGGUGGUCGGCCACAUUGGGACUGAGACACGGCCCAAACUCCUACGGGAGGCAGCAGCCGGGAAUAUUCCGCAAUGGGGGAAACCCUGACGGAGCGACGCCGCGUGAGGGAAGAAGCCCUUCGGGGGUGUAAACCUCUUUUCUCGGGGAAGAGUAGAGACGGUACCCGAGGAAUAAGCCCCGGCUAACUACGUG
rnacentral:rRNA from 1 species